rnacentral:sRNA from 1 species
CAAAUUCAUAAUCCACUUUCUGUUCCAAUCCAAAAUGCCAAAUUCUUACAACCAUCACCAAAAUCAAACCCAAGGAUUACUCAUUCAUACUCAAUAUUUCAUCAUUUAAUUCUCUCUAAUACAAUCUACCAGGUUUCCAAAAAACACUUCAACUAAGUAGUAAGAACAAUUAAACAGUUAUGAUUAUGCAAAAGAACCAUCUAGGGUAUUGCCAAUGCAAUCAUUAGCCGACACAAUAGUAGAACAUGUACCUACGUUCUGCAUAUGAAGAUUAUUGUCGCAUGGUAUAUCUCCUUUGCCACAUGAUGUCAAGCUUUCAAGUGCAAUAACUUGAUGAUUAGCAUACUCAGUUUUGAAGAACUUGCAGAGAUGAAGAGAGAAAGUACUACUACUGAUUCAAACAAGGGUACAUGAUUUUGUAGCAGAAGAGGACCACAAAAGAAAGUGGCUCUUCCAGAACAUUAUUCAUACGAAAUGAACAUGAUUCGUUUCGAUUCCAAAGGUCAGUGCCAAAUUCAUCUUCACCAAUUUGAAUGCACUGAUAUUUGUGCUUGUCGGUAGUCUCACAAGAAGCUGGUGUGGUUAUCCAAUUUAUUUGUAUGUUCCAAUCACAAUAACAAUGACAGGCCACUACGAUUAAUUACGCAUUUAUGCCAUAUGAAAAAAAAGAAAGAAACGUUUUUGUACAUUUCUUAAUAACAUAUUGAAAAUCAUGCUCCCAUAAAAUGAAUUUAGAAUAUAAAAAUGAAUGAAAAUCUCAUGUUAAAAAU